rnacentral:rRNA from 1 species
CCUACGGGAGGCUGCAGUAGGGAAUCUUCCACAAUGGGCGAAAGCCUGAUGGAGCAACGCCGCGUGGGUGAAGAAGGUCUUCGGAUCGUAAAACCCUGUUGUUAGAGAAGAAAGUGCGUGAGAGUAACUGUUCACGUUUCGACGGUAUCUAACCAGCAAGCGACGGCUAACUACGUGCCAGCAGCCGCGGUAAUACGUAGGUGGCAAGCGUUAUCCGGAUUUAUUGGGCGUAAAGGGAACGCAGGCGGUCUUUUAAGUCUGAUGUGAAAGCCUUCGGCUUAACCGGAGUAGUGCAUUGGAAACUGGGAGACUGGAGUGCAGAAGAGGAGAGUGGAACUCCAGGUGUAGCGGUGAAAUGCGUAGAUAUAUGGAAGAACACCAGUGGCGAAAGCGGCUCUCUGGUCUGUAACUGACGCUGAGGUUCGAAAGCGUGGGGAGCAAACAGGAUUAGAUACCCUGGUAGUC